UAGGAAGCGAAAUUUGGAUUGAUGCCUAUGUAGCUUACAGAAGUCUAAAUAUAUUACAUGGAUUUUCACCGUACACACAUAAAACGGUGAACCAUAGCAGAAAUUUUGUCGAUCCGGAAAUGGGAGUUAACACAAAUUAUGUAAAGCUACAAAAGCUUCACUGAUAUAGGUUGAGUAUUAGUAUUUUUCAUUAUGAUAGUAGGUUAUUUCUAAAGGACUUUUAUUUAAGACUCAUUCACUAGGAAGCGAAAUUUGGACUGAUGCCUAUGUAGCUUACAGAAGUCUAAAUAUAUUACAUGGAUUUUCACCGUACACACAUAAAACGGUGAACCAUAGCAGAAAUUUUGUCGAUCCGGAAAUGGGAGUUAACACAAAUUAUGUAAAGCUACAAAAGCUUCACUGAUAUAGGUUGAGUAUUAGUAUUUUUCAUUAUGAUAGUAGGUUAUUUCUAAAGGACUUUUAUUUAAGACUCAUUCACUAGGAAGCGAAAUUUGGACUGAUGCCUAUGUAGCUUACAGAAGUCUAAAUACAUUACAUGGAGUUUCACCGUACACACAUAAAACGGUGAACCAUAGCAGAAAUUUUGUCGAUCCGGAAACGGGAGUUAACACAAAUUAUGUAAAGCUACAAAAGCUUCACUGAUAUAGACUCAUUCACUAGGAAGCGAAAUUUGGACUGAUGCCUAUGUAGCUUACAGAAGUCUAAAUACAUUACAUGGAGUUUCACCGUACACACAUAAAACGGUGAACCAUAGCAGAAAUUUUGUCGAUCCGGAAACGGGAGUUAACACAAAUUAUGUAAAGCUACAAAAGCUUCACUGAUAUAGACUCAUUCACUAGGAAGCGAAAUUUGGAUUGAUGCCUAUGUAGCUUACAGAAGUCUAAAUACAUUACAUGGAUUUUCACCGUACUCACAUAAAACGGUGAACCAUAGCAGCAAUUUUGUUGAUCCGG